rnacentral:snoRNA from 1 species
UAUCCAUGGUGUAGGCACUUCUGAAUCAACAUCUUGAAACGCUCACAUGCUUCAUGAAGGCUUUCUCUUUCUAACUACUUGAACAUCAAAAUUUCCCUUCUUAAUUA